AGGGAAUAGAGCCAUAAAAAGCCUGAACUGAAGGCCGCUUUUAUAAGGUUUAUAUUGCUCGUCCUCCCAUCUGUCUGGUAGGAAGCAGAACAUGGCAUUUAAAAGACUUCUCCUAAUCAGAUAAUUAUAAGGAGAGAUUUCUCUUUUUUAAGGAGAGCAUUGGAAUAUAAAGAAAUUCCCGGGGAGGUGAUCUUUUUGAGGCUUUAUCUUUGCACACUGCCUUUGAAAACAGCCACCUAGAAGCCGGUGGCCCUGGUCCCCUCCCUAGGUCUCGUGAAGCCAUUCAUAGCGACACAGACCUCUGACAGCUGGCCUCUGGAUACCAGAGCAGGGGCACAACUUGAUGCUGUUCGAGUUGAUUUCUACAAUCUCCAAGCAUGCAAUACGAGCACUCACGGCCCCCAUGCGCUGAUGGCUGUCCUUGUCGGAAAGCAGCCGCAGCUUUGGGGAGUCACUGGCCGCCAGAACUUUUGUAAUUCUGAUGAGCAAAGGGGUCAGCUGCUCAGAAGGAAAAUCUCUCUGUGGCAGCCCCAGGCAGCCUCCGCAGCUGGAUCUCAAAGGGGCUCAGGAUCGUCGCCUGCUCCCCAGCGACAGCGACAGCUCGCCCCUGUUUUCUGAGGACAGUGACUCCACUGCCAAAUCGACAGGAUUCCUGCAGAUGCCGGACGCUCGGAAAUGACCACGUGGCCUUGCCAGGCCGGCUUGUUAGAAAAGCCCAGCUUCCUCCUUAUCUUGUCUGCUCAGACAAAGAGCAGAACCUAAUCGAGAGAAGAGAACCCCAAUUAGCAAAGCCCAGAGACGCGGCCCCCCACCCCCUGCCCCGCACCCACUUGCAGGGGUUCAGCUCCACCCUCCCUCUCUUCUGGCUUAUCGGGCUGGCGGUGUGACCGGGUUAAUGAGAAGAGCCCAGCUGGGCGGUGGCAGGAACGGUCAUCCGGACAGAGGCCACGGGGACAGACGCAAACCAUGGCUUCUUGGGCCCCUCUGGAACCGGCUGACACCAACUGAAACUCGGCAAAACACACGCUUCAUUCCUCCUGUUCUUAGGUCACAGCUUGAGUGUGAGUGCUCCCGAGCAAACCCGACUUGGAAAAGUGACUUCUGAAGCCUCUCCCUUGUCUUCUCUGGCAGAAAGCUGCUGCGAGCCCAGGGGAAGGCAGCUUCCUUUCGUUCUCUCCUCCCACGGUGUGCCCUUCGAGUGUCCCCACUAAUGCAGCACAGAGGACAGCAGGCACGGGUGGCAUGUGGACUGGUGCCCCGGGCGCCGGCUGACCGUCGGGCAUAACCACACUCCAGGCAGGGCCCGGGAAGGGCAUCCCAGGGCAGUGUGGAUGCUCCAGUGCAGACGUGCUGGUGCAGAGGGUCCUGGAAACACGUGUUGUUUGCAACAGCAGCUUUAUCCUGAUCGUCUCCUCUCUUCGGCGACACCCACGUUCACUAUCGUCACCUCCACCACAAGGGAGCAGCGGGGAAGGGAGAGGCGGCCACAGUCGCAGGAGAGGCUGCUCUGUCCCCAGUGAUAAUCACACAGCUCACAGCCGGCCUCGGGGAGGCGAUGCUGGAUGCCAGGCGCCUUGCACUGCUGCGGCAGCUUACAGGAAAAGCCAAUCUGACCACCCCCCUCCCGCCCGACAACCCAGGAGGCAGACUCACAUUGCCUUCAUUUUGUGGAGGCAGAGAGAAGGUCAGCCUCCGAAGACCAGAGGGAUGGACAGUGGCAAGUUCACAAGGUCAGGAGCCAAAGCCAGCAAGAGCUUGGAUGUAGCUCAGUGCUGUGAUUUUAGGGAUAAAGCUUGGGUCACACCACCCAGAGUUGAGCUCUAGUCCAUCUCCUGGGCAUAUUAACUUGACCAUCUUGAGCCUCCAAAUGCUCACCUGCCAAGUGGAGUAGUGAUGGUCCCACCUCAUGGAGUUGCUCGGGAUGGCAUAGAAUAGGGCAGGAAGAGGGCACCUCACAUCUCCAGCACUUAGCAGACACUAGGUGUUAGUCGAGGACCUCAGCCCCACAACCAGGCCCCCUCUCCACUCACAAGGUGAGCGAGGCCGAGAGGCUCGCUUCGGGAAUCCACCUGGGAAUUGGACCAUGUUCUCAAACAUGGGAUAGCAGAGCCUUUGGGGGCAGCCAGUGUGGGCCCCUGCAUCUGCCCACGGAAGCGGGGCUGGCAACAGAUAUCUUCAGUGCCCUCAGGGAGGGUGGGCACAGUGGCCCGGGCCCCAGCCCUCACAGGGAGGGAUGGUGUGGAGGCCCCAGGCCUGGCCUCGGUGGUCACAUGACAUGUCAUCACAAGACGGCACAGGAGCCCAGCAGGCUCGCCGGCCACCCACCAGCCUCUUGGCCACCCCGGCCGCCCUCUGGUUUCUGUUGCAUCUGUUUGGACAACAACCCCCUGCGGGAGCCCUCUUGCUCUACUGUCUUCAAAGUCCACCAGCCCUCACCCUUCAAACAAUGUGUUGACACUUGCACAGAGCCACAGGAACAAUAAACAGCCCCCGCCGCUCCAGCCCGGGGGCCUUCCCACCCGCAGAGGCUGGGCGGCAAGGCUGGAGGGGGCUUGGGCGUCGGGCAGACCAGGUUCAAACCCCACGUCUGCCUCCUGAGCUGGGCUUGCGCAGGCAAGUAGCUUGCCCUCUCUGGAUCCCAGUUUCCCUGGCCAGAAAAGGGAAGCAGAGAUGGGCAAAGAGCUGGUUUGUACUGAGUAUCAAUUAUUGCAUCGCCAUUUAAAUCAGACUAUGGAAGGAAAACACCUGAAUGUGUGGAGAGCAGGAACUCCUUCUUAAGAAACAAGAUGCUGCCCCGUGACUGCAAAGGCUAGCGGGAAGGUCGACGGUGGUCUGGCGUGGUGGAGUCGGAGGAGCGCUGCCGCAGGACACCUGGGCUUGGCUCGGUUCUGUUUGGUGCCAGGCACCUGCUACAUGACCGGGGACAAGCUGCUCCUCAUUUCUGGGUCCAUUCCCCCCACUGUAUGAGUUGAUCCCCAUGUUUCCUUCCUACCGUCUUCCUCCAACUACCAAAUAGAACCUUGUACCCCUGAAACAUCACCUCAACACAAGCACACUGUUUUCAGCCACCCCGGACACCCCUACAGUGCUGGCAUCUGUAAAGAAAAUGAUGCUGAAAUUUUGCAAACAUAAGAAACCUGAACAUGGUAGGAUUGUGGGUGAUUCUUUUCUAUAAUGUAUCUCUCUCUCUCUCUCUUUUUUUUUUUUUACUUAAGUUUUAAUUUUAAUUCCAGUAUAGUUACCAUGCGGUGUGAUACUUGUUUCAGAUGUACAUAGUGAUUCAGCACUUCCAUGCAUCACCCGGCGCUCCUCACGACACGUGCUCUCCUUCAUCCUCAUCACCUGUUUUCUCCAUCCCCAGCCACCUCCCCGCUGGUGACCACUAGUGUGUUCUCUACAGUUAAAAGGCUGCUUUUUUCUUUCUUUCUUUUUUUCU